rnacentral:rRNA from 1 species
GAGGGGSAUGUGAGGGCUGUCGCUGACUCAAAGUCGUGCACGCCCGAGUGUGUCCUCUCACAUAAUAAUCCAUCUCACCCUUUGUGCAUCGCCGCGUGGGCACCCUUUGGGAUCAUCUCGGAGGGGGCUCGCGUUUUCACACAAACCCCCCUUUUAAAAGUGUAGAAUGACCUCAUUUAUGCGCUAACACGCAAUCAAUACAACUUUCAACAACGGAUCUCUUGGCUCUCGCAUCGAUGAAGAACGCAGCGAAAUGCGAUACGUAAUGUGAAUUGCAGAAUUCAGUGAAUCAUCGAAUCUUUGAACGCACCUUGCGCCCCUUGGUAUUCCGAGGGGCACACCCGUUUGAGUGUCGUGAAAACCUCAACCUCCUUGGUUUCUUCUGGAGACCAAAGGCAGGCUUGGACUUUGGAGGCCUUUGCUGGAACCUCUCUCUUUUGAAGGCCAGCUCCUCUUAAACGAAUUAGCAGGGUCCUCUUUGCCGAUCCUCGACGUGUGAUAAGAUGUUUCCAUGUCUUGGUUUCUGGCUCUGUCACUUUUGGGACCCGCUUCUAACCGUCUUGACCUUGCAUCGAGACAAUGUUCGAGCAUGUCUCCCUUCUCGGGAAGCUCCCUCGACCCCACGAACCCUUGACCUCAAAUCGGGUGAGACUACCCGCUGAACUUAAGCAUAUCAAUAAGCGGAGGAAAAGAAACUAACAAGGAUUCCCCUAGUAACUGCGAGUGAAGCGGGAAAAGCUCAAAUUUAAAAUCUGGCGGUCUUUGGCCGUCCGAGUUGUAAUUUAGAGAAGCGUCUUCCGCGCUGGACCGUGU